UGCAGCCGAGCGGUAGAGUUUCUUCGGAACUUGAGAGCGGCGUACGGGUGCGGAACACGUGUGCAACCUGCCUUUAUCAGGGGGAUAGCCUUUCGAAAGGAAGAUUAAUACCCCAUAAUAUUUAGAAUGGCAUCAUUUUAAAUUGAAAACUCCGGUGGAUAGAGAUGGGCACGCGCAAGAUUAGAUAGUUGGUGAGGUAACGGCUCACCAAGUCUACGAUCUUUAGGGGGCCUGAGAGGGUGAUCCCCCACACUGGUACUGAGACACGGACCAGACUCCUACGGGAGGCAGCAGUGAGGAAUAUUGGACAAUGGGUGAGAGCCUGAUCCAGCCAUCCCGCGUGAAGGAUGACGGCCCUAUGGGUUGUAAACUUCUUUUGUAUAGGGAUAAACCUACUCUCGUGAGAGUAGCUGAAGGUACUAUACGAAUAAGCACCGGCUAACUCCGUGCCAGCAGCCGCGGUAAUACGGAGGGUGCAAGCGUUAUCCGGAUUUAUUGGGUUUAAAGGGUCCGUAGGCUGAUCUGUAAGUCAGUGGUGAAAUCUCACAGCUUAACUGUGAAACUGCCAUUGAUACUGCAGGUCUUGAGUGUUAUUGAAGUAGCUGGAAUAAGUAGUGUAGCGGUGAAAUGCAUAGAUAUUACUUAGAACACCAAUUGCGAAGGCAGGUUACUAAGCAACAACUGACGCUGAUGGACGAAAGCGUGGGGAGCGAACAGGAUUAAAUACCCUGGUAGUCCACGCCGUAAACGAUGCUAACUCGUUUUGGGUUUUUAAAAAUUCAAAAA
rnacentral:rRNA from 1 species